GACAGAGGGGGCAAGCGUUGCUCGGAAUUACUGGGCGUAAAGGGCGCGUAGGCGGGAUGGCAAGUCGGUCGUGAAAUCCCUCGGCUCAACCGAGGAACGUCGAUCGAUACUGCUGUUCUUGAGGAUUGCAGAGGAGACUGGAAUUCCCGGUGUAGCGGUGAAAUGUGUAGAGAUCGGGUGGAACACCAGUGGCGAAGGCGGCAUGCUGGCGCAUUCCUGACACUGAGGCGCGAGAGCGUGGGGAGCAAACGGG
rnacentral:rRNA from 1 species